CGGUGAAUACGUUCCCGGGCCUUGUACACACCGCCCGUCACACCACGAGAGUUUGUAACACCCGAAGUCGGUGAGGUAACCUUUAUGGAGCCAGCCGCCGAAGGUGGGACAGAUGAUUGGGGUGAAGUCGUAACAAGGUAGCCGUAUCGGAAGGUGCGGCUGGAUCACCUCCUUUCU
rnacentral:rRNA from 1 species